AUGAACUUCUGUGUGGACAACACCGUACCCAUUAAAAAGGUAUGUUGUUUUUCUAACAACAAGCCAUGGAUAAAUCCAGAAAUUAAGGCUCUCCUCAAGGAGAAGAAGAGAGUCUUUAGAUCUGGGGACAAACAGGAGCUGAGAGUUGUCCAGAAGAAGCUGAAAUGGAAGAUAAGGCAAGGAAAGGAAAACUACAGGAGGAAGAUGGAAGAGCAGCUGCAACAGGACAUCAGAGGGGUUUGGAACAGCCUGAAGACAAUCUCAGGACAAAAACCAACCCCCCAGGUUGCAGGAGACUUGGGGUGGGUGAAUGACCUAAAUAAAUAUUUUAAUAGGUUUGAUCAAACACCCGCCCCUCCCACAGCAUCAUCCCCCCUGCUGCAAUCUCCUUCAUCUUCAGGGACUGCCUGUCCUUCAUCUCAGGACUUCACACCGCUCAGCUUCACACCUCCCAGCUCCCAGUCAUUACACCCACCCCCGGCUUCUAUGGACUCCAACAUACACACCCCUCCCCCAAAAUCCACUCUUUCUAUCUCAGCACUUCAAGUGAGGAAUGAGCUUCGCAAGACCAAGGUGCGGAAGGCUGCAGGUCCAGAUGGCGUCAGCUCCAGGCUCCUGAGAUGCUGCGCAGAUGAACUGUGUGGCAUCCUAGGAUAUCUGUUCAACCUGAGCCUGUCACUGGGGAAAGUACCACAGCUGUGGAAGACCUCCUGUGUGGUACCGGUACCAAAGACCUCCCAUCCCAAGGACCUCAGCAGCAACAGGCCGGUAGCCCUGACAUCGCAUCUGAUGAAGACCCUCGAGAGGUUGGUUCUAAACCAUCUGCGCCCCCUGGUGAGGUCUUCAUUGGAUCCGCUGCAGUUUGCUUACCAGCCUGGUAUUGGGGUGGAGGACGCCAUCAUCUACCUCCUGCACCGAGCUCUGACUCACCUGCAGAAGCCUGGAAGCACUGUGAGGAUCAUGUUCUUUGAUUUCUCCAGUGCUUUCAACACCAUCCAGCCAUGA
rnacentral:lncRNA from 1 species